GGCUCUGUGGGGUCCUGUGGCAUGGAGCCCACUGGGGGAGGGGCAACAUCUACUUGGCCCCUCUUCUUGCGGGAUGAGGCUGUGCAGUCCCCACGGCAGGCAGUGGCUGAGGAACCCAUUUGGGGCAGGGAGCUGUGCCAGCUGCAGAUUGAGCUCUGGCUGGCAGGAGCCCAGGACCAGAGGCUGUGAACUGCCCAUGCUUUGCAUAACAGAGGGCACAGGGAGCUGUGGCACUGGCCAGGAUUUGAAUGGACACCGAGCGCUGCAGCAGGAGCCGGUGGUUCUUUAUGGAACGCAACAUCUGCGAGUCUGCUGGGGAAAUCCUGAGGUUGAAUGGGUAUGGAAACUCUAAGCUGGUCUGCUGACUGGACAGGGUUCUUUAAGGCAUCACUUGAAGCCAAGAAGAGUAUUCAGAAGCAGAUGGAGUGACACUUAGCUCAAGGCAUUUUGAAGCGUUCCAUUAGAUGAAGAAAGUCAAUGUUCACUUGCCUUCACCUGGAAAAGAGAGGUGAAAACUGCCUUCAACAAGACGACCCCAUGGCAGUCUACCCCAAGUCUACGCUUCAAAAGUCUCCUGGCCCAACAGAAUCAAAGUUUGAACGGAAAGGGCAAAAAUUUUGGUGCAGAUUUGUACAGGUUGUAGAUGAUUUGUUAAUUAGCGAGUUGAGAUAAGAAGGUUCUUUCCCAUCCUGUGGUGAUUCUGUGCAGCACUCUGGAAAACAAGCACAUCAAGUUGUA